rnacentral:rRNA from 1 species
UACAGAGGUCUCAAGCGUUUGUUCGGAAUCACUGGGGCGUAAAGGGGUGCGUAGGUGGCGUGGUAAGUCAGAUGUGAAAAGCCCCGGGGCUCAACCUCGGAAUUGCAUCCGAUACUGCCGUGCUAGAGUACUGAAGAGGUGACUAGAAUUCUCGGUGUAGCAGUGAAAUGACGUAGAUAUCGAGAGGAAUACCAACGGGCGAAGGCAGGUCACUGGGGCAGUUACUGACACUGAGGCACGAAGGCCAGGGGGAGCAAAACGGGG